GAAUUCACUAGUGAUUAGAGUUUGAUCCUGGCUCAGGAUGAACGCUAGCUACAGGCUUAACACAUGCAAGUCGAGGGGCAUCAGUUUGGUUUGCUUGCAAACCAAAGCUGGCGACCGGCGCACGGGUGAGUAACACGUAUCCAACCUGCCUCAUACUCGGGGAUAGCCUUUCGAAAGAAAGAUUAAUAUCCGAUAGCAUAUAUUUCCCGCAUGGGUUUUAUAUUAAAGAAAUUCGGUAUGAGAUGGGGAUGCGUUCCAUUAGUUUGUUGGCGGGGUAACGGCCCACCAAGACUACGAUGGAUAGGGGUUCUGAGAGGAAGGUCCCCCACAUUGGAACUGAGACACGGUCCAAACUCCUACGGGAGGCAGCAGUGAGGAAUAUUGGUCAAUGGACGCGAGUCUGAACCAGCCAAGUAGCGUGAAGGAUGACUGCCCUAUGGGUUGUAAACUUCUUUUAUAUGGGAAUAAAGUGGUCCACGUGUGGAUUUUUGUAUGUACCAUAUGAAUAAGGAUCGGCUAACUCCGUGCCAGCAGCCGCGGUAAUACGGAGGAUCCGAGCGUUAUCCGGAUUUAUUGGGUUUAAAGGGGGCGUAGGCGGAUUGUUAAGUCAGUUGUGAAAGUUUGCGGCUCAACCGUAAAAUUGCAGUUGAUACUGGCAGUCUUGAGUGCAGUAGAGGUGGGCGGAAUUCGUGGUGUAGCGGUGAAAUGCUUAGAUAUCACGAAGAACUCCGAUUGCGAAGGCAGCUCACUGGAGUGUAACUGACGCUGAUGCUCGAAAGUGUGGGUAUCAAACAGGAUUAGAUACCCUGGUAGUCCACACAGUAAACGAUGAAUACUCGCUGUUUGCGAUAUACAGUAAGCGGCCAAGCGAAAGCGUUAAGUAUCCA
rnacentral:rRNA from 1 species